GUACACGCUGUGACUAGCAUAUCAAUAAGCGGAGGAAAAGAGCUAGCGGAACUGAACGGACCGCUACCUACGCUUAGGAUGUUGACGAGACUGUCGAUCUCGUCUAUACAUGACUCUGUGCAUAUCAAUAGCGGAGGAAAAGGAACUAACAAGGAUUCCCUUAGUAACGGCGAGUGAAGCGGGAAGAGCUCAAAUUUGAAAUCUUCAAGGUUUUACCUUGACGAAUUGUAGUUUAAAGAAGUGUUUUCUGCUGAAGUUUUGGUAAAAGUUCUUUGGAAUAGGACAUCAUAGAGGGUGAGAAUCCCGUAUUUGACCAUUAUUUUCAGCUUUGUGAUACACUUUCAAAGAGUCGGAUUGUUUGGGAAUGCAGUCCAAAAUGGGUGGUAAAUUUCAUCUAAAGCUAAAUAUUGGCGAGAGACCGAUAGCGAACAAGUACCGUGAGGGAAAGAUGAAAAGAACUUUGAAAAGAGAGUUAAACAGUACGUGAAAUUGUCAAAAGGGAAGCGUUUAACACCAGUGUUGUUUUCUGAAAAUCAACCUCUGUUAGCUUUAUGCAUGUUUGUUUAGACCUAAUCAGCUAUCUUUCAUGUUCUAUUGUUUGCAGUGGUGCACUUUUCAGUUUACAGGUCAACAUCAGUUUUUUUUACCGUAAAAAAGUUAAAGAAAGGUAGCUCAUGGCUCCGGUCGUGAGUGUUAUAGUCUUUUUCCUAUGCGGUAGGAGAGACUGAGGUCUGCAGUGUAGGCUAUUUGGCUAGAUACUCAGGUGCUAUGUGAUACCAUUUCAUAAACAACUUGUUGAUUAUGUUUUGUCUAUUGCAUACUCGCUUGUACUAUCAUACCUACGCUUAGGAUGUUGAGUAGCGACAUACGCAC
rnacentral:rRNA from 1 species